GAGGCGCGCCGCGUGCACUAACCAAACCGGGCCAGUGCAACUGAAUCUGUCUGUGAGGGACAAUUUACCCCCGACCGAGCCGCGUGAGCAAAACGAUUCCGCGAUUAUUGUAUAGGCUCCAUUUCGACAAAUGAACGGCUCAGAUCAUCUGAUUGCAUUGAUUUAGGAGGGAUUGUCAUCCGGAAGCUAUUCCGUAGCCUAGCCUACAGAGGGUAGCCUACCAGAGCUAGAGUGGAUUGUGAUGCGUCAGUGUGUUUGACGGCUUUUCACGUAGGCUAUAUGUACCUUUGAAGAUAGUGCUGAGAAUGUAACAGCCUAUAUUAAACCAGCUCAUGGGACAGACAAACACAGAGUUGUUAUAGAUUGAGAGAACUGAGCACCGUCAGCGCUGACACGCUCAUCACUGUCGGCUUCCUCUGGUGUGGGUAUUGAAUCGUGUCUCUCUCUUUUCUCUCAUCCUUCUUCCGGCAUCACUGACGGAGGCUGCUGAUGCUGCCGUAGCUCGUGAAAAAAAUCUCUGUAGCAACUACCUGGACUGGGCUGUGCGUUAUCUAUAGCCCGCUAGAUGCUGUGAAUUAUCCCGCAGGAUUGUGAUUUGGGCUAUACAAGAAGGAAGGCAUCAUAGACAUUGCGUUUCGUUUGCUCCGGUUUGACACCGUCACUGUCGUUAUCAUUGCUUAGGAAAGAGCCAUAGGCUAUUGCAAAAAACUGCUGUUCUAUUAGCUAUUGGAAGGCCUUAUUAUUUGAUAUUGAUUUGACUCUUAAUUAAAAUGAGUAAUGUGUUAUGGGUAAUAUCCGAAUAACAAUCUGAUAUUUGCUGUGUUAAGGAGGUAUUCCGGAGGCAUACAAGUGACAUGUGCCAGAAGCGAUGUCUGACAAACGGUUAGACGGCCAUACAUAGCCUAUGAGAAAGGUGGGAGGGAAUUAUUUCUCAUAUAGGCUAGUUCAGGAGUCGCCACAUUCUCAGAGUUAUCAUUUAGGUUAAAUAAAGGCACAAGCUUGCAGAUUAGCUUUUGGCUAUUCAGUUUAUGCGCCAGUAUCGGGGUGCGACCUCGUGAGUUGAAUAUGCUUGCCAGAUGUUGCCUUUGAUGUGAUUCAUUCAGUUGCAUGGGUGCAUAGGCUACUUUGGGUUGCAUUUAUUAUUGCUCAACUAAUUAAUUAGUCAGUGCCCCCCCUUUGCUCAUAUACCUACUUUAAUAGGCUUACCUACUUCAUAAGAAUACCGGGACUGGGAUACAACACAAACUGUGCUACAAUGAUACCCGGAUCGGCUGCGUCGAUGCUCCCAUCAAUGUCUUCGGAAGACAUUAAACUAUACCAGCAUAACUAUGUCCGCAACUCCCGUGCCAUCGGACUCCUGUGGGCCAUCUUCACCAUCCUGUUCGCCAUCUUGAACGUGGUGAUUUUCAGCCAGCCCUAUUGGAUCGGGGACGGCGUGGACACCCCACAGGCCGGCUAUUUCGGCCUCUUCCACUUCUGCACCGGCGACGGGAUCCAGAGGGAGCUCGACUGCACAGGGACCUUCACUGAGUUCGCUCAGAUUCCUUCCACCGCGUUCAAGGCCGCGUCGUUCUUCGUCGGGAUGUCAAUGAUGCUGGUGAUAGCUUGCAUUGCUUCUUUCACUCUCUUCUUCCUGUUCUCCACCACCACCGUCUAUAAGAUCUGUGGCUGGAUGCAGGGGGCCUCGGGUGUGUGUCUGGUGAUGGGCUGUAUAAUCUACCCUGAUGGCUGGGACAGUGAUGAGGUGCGGAGGAUGUGCGGUGAGCAGACAGACAAGUACUCCCUGGGAGCGUGCUCCAUGCGUUGGGCUUACAUCCUGGCUAUCAUGGGGGUCCUGAAUGCCCUCAUGCUCUCCUUCCUGGCCUUCGUACUGGGCAACAGGCAGGAUGGACUCAUGACCGAGGAACUGCUGGCCGAGAGCAAGGCUGGGAUGAAGUAGCAUCAACAUCCGCUCGGAGACUUUGUGGCUGUGUUAUCUAGUGACAACCCAAAAGUGUCGGGAAAUUUGAGACUGUGCGAUAACAGUUACGGACAAGAUUGAAGAUAACUCAAUUCCAUUUGAGCAACAAUGUCUUCAGAAAAGCUGGGAAUGCCUAAAACAUCCAUAGGUGUGUUUCCUAGUGUGUGUGUUCACCGCUCAUCACUCUCCAGCUUUUUACCCAUCAUCCCCAGAUGGCUUUGGGAGAGAGAAGAAAGAGAGAGAGAGGGGGAGAAAGGAGGGAAGAGGAGGAGAAAUGGAUAGCUAUGGAACUAGAUGCCUCCACUCCAUUCACACUUGCACGUUCACACUGUAAUAUUCCACACCUUACCCUCUAGUUUAUAAUAUAUACUGUAUCUGCCAAUGAUAUGUACAUACGUGUGUCUUUGUUGUCCAUCCUGCUCAUAGUCCUAGCCCUAUCGAGCGUCUCUACCCCACACUACUCCCUUAUCACUGAGCCCGUAGAACCCCAGCAGAGACUGACAACCCUUACACAACUGAUAAUCAACCAAGGCAGGGACAGAGACUUUGACUGACCAACUGAAGACGUAUGGAUUAUCUGCAAGAAUGUGGAUGGGUUGUACUAUGUUGAAGUAUUAUACUGAUACAAAUACACAAACACGGUAGUACAGUUCACACAUACAUAAAUGCACGUGGGGGAGCAAAUACACACACACACACACACAUACACACUCAUCUAAAGUCACACGUGAAUACAUAUCCUUAGACUUUAACCUUGUAAUAAAUCCAUACGCUAACAUGUUGAGCAACAGUAGAUAUUGUAUAUUAGUGUACCAUGCCAUCUCCUGAGUAUGUGUUUAUGUUUUAGUUGUGAAAAGAAGGAAAUUACCUAUUCUCAUCUAAUAUUGGGUGUAAAUUUACGAUAUCUCAAAAUAAUGUGUGAACUCUUACAAACAAAACCUAUCCCUCCUCCUCAUUCUCCCCCUCUUCCUCAAAAGCCGUCUUUACUAGCGCACUGUUGUCUAACGUGAGUGGCUACAGUUACUGUAUAUAGAUAAUUAAUUAUAGUUUUACAAAGUUGGGGCUGAAAUAUAUGUAUAAAUACUAAAAUAUAAAAGAAGCACUGUUGUUGGAAUUCAGUUUGUUACUCCAUUUCAAGCGUACGUCGUCGAUGCCCAGCUCAGUUCGUUUUGCACACUACUUGCAUUUGAGGAGAAUCUCAAUGUUUUGUAGUUUGUGGUAUGGUAUAUUCUUAUUCACUGUGAUGGGGGAGGUAUUUGACUGUAUGUCUGCUCCAUAUCUUGUAGCUGUUGGGUGAAUGCGUGUUUGUAUGAGUGUGAAUGUAGGGGGGUGGGGGUGGGUUGGUUCUUCUAUCCUUGUGGGGCUCUAAAAUCCCCAAAAGUCUCCAUGACAGUAAAAUAAGGAAAAUUGUCCACCGGGGGGACACUUCCCAUGUCCCCAUGAGAACAAAGGCUAUGUUAGGUUUAAGGUUAGGGUUAUAUUUAGUGUUAGCGGUUAGGAGUUAGAUUUUGGGUUAAGGAAAAUAUUAUUUUUAAUGGAAAUCAAUUUUAGGUCCCCACGAGGAUAGAAGAACAAAACCUGUGUGUGUUUUUUAAAUGCACCUUUUUAAUGUACCAACACACCAGCCUCGUCCCAUAACGACUCUUAUACUAUAUAGUCCUGAACAUACAAAUGUAUAUUUCCCUCUCUUUUGAUCUCUCGCUUUCGCGCUCACUUUCUCUCGCUCUUUCUCCAUCUCAUUCUCUCUAUUGCACACUCCCUCGCUCUCCCCCUUUCCAGCUGUCUCUCUCUUUCUAUCUCUCUCUGUCAUGUUUUUAUGAAUGAGUGUAUUUGUCAAAUUAACCUUUUUAAUGUACCAUCAACUCUCUCUCUCUCUCUUCCAUGUUUUUUCAGUAUGAGUAUGUUUGUUAAAUGCACCUUUUUAAUGUACCAACACACCAGCCUCAUCUCAUAACGAGUCUUAUACUAUGUAGUCAUGUACAUAUUUAUUUAUUUCCCUCUCUUGAUCUCUCACUUUCUUUCUCUCUCAUGUCUCUUUUUCAGUAUGUGUUCAUAAUUCAUUAUGGGGAUGUGCAGGUAAUAUUAAUUGUGGAGAGGGUCAUAUGUAAUAAUUGAUUGAUUGAUUAAUCUAGAAGGCCUGGUGAGGUUAUUUAAGUCCUAUACCUCCAUCAUGAGCUGAGGGGAGGAAGAGCAAAAAGAGGGGGAGGAGAAAAGGGAUGAAUAUGAGAAGGAAGAGGUGUGAGCUAAUAGUGUUAAUACUGUAGGAACGAAAGGCCUGUCCCAGCCUCUUCUGUAUGUAUUUAUGUACCACCAAUGUAAAUAUAAAUAUAUUACAGAUACCAAACAUUAAGCAAAUACAUGGACGAGAAGGGUAACGGCAAUGGAAUAAACAAACUUAUUAUAAAGCAUAUAUGAAUAUGAUUAAUAAAGAUUUUCACUGUAGAACAA